rnacentral:tRNA from 1 species
UGCCGCCGCGGCUCUGGCGCCGGCCAGCGCCGACUCCAGGUCGGCGAUCCGGGCGUCCCGCUCGGCCAGUUCGGCGCCGAGGCGGCCG